AACAAGAUGCCUGAUAAAAGGAUUAUUUUGAUAGAAUAAAUUAUGUAAUUAAAUUACUCUUGUUA
rnacentral:tRNA from 1 species